UACAGAGGUCCCAAGCGUUGUUCGGAUUUACUGGGCGUAAAGGGUGCGUAGGUGGUGAGGUAAGUCUGAUGUGAAAUCUCCGAGCUCAACUCGGAAAUGGCAUUGGAAACUACCUUGCUAGAGGGUUGGAGGGGGACUGGAAUACUUGGUGUAGCAGUGAAAUGCGUAGAUAUCAAGUGGAACACCAGUGGCGAAGGCGAGUCCCUGGACAACUCCUGACACUGAGGCACGAAAGCUAGGGGAGCAAACAGG
rnacentral:rRNA from 1 species